AUUGCUUCCCAGCCUUUUGGCUAAGAUCAAGUGUAGUAUCUGUUCUUAUAUUCCGUUCUAAUAUUAAAUUAUGGUUAUGGUGGGCAGCUCUGUAAAUAUAACUAAA
rnacentral:snRNA from 1 species